rnacentral:precursor_RNA from 17 species
UCUGGAAGUUCCGAUGUGGACUGUUCACCUCACCUGAAACAGUGCCUGAAAUAAUAUUCAGGGAUUUAUCAGUCAUUGUUUUGGGUGGAGUGCAGUGAUCACUAUUCUGCUGAGACUCA